AUUCACCUCGUGAUAUUUUCACCUCCCGCCAGCUUAUACUUGUGCGUGUCACAUUCUAAAAAUCUUAAAUUGGUGAGUAUAUGUGUGUUUUACUAUUAGAACUAUACCAGUUUUCAAUUCGAAAAUUUCCACUGCAUUCAAAUCGAUAAUUUCAAAUCGAUAAGUUCAAACAAUCGAUCAUUUCGACUUAUUUAUUCUCGAUAUUUAAAUAAAAGGGGGAAAAAAAUUAAGUUUCUCUCUCUCCAAGCAGCACAUCUUUAUCAUUUUUAAUCGGGGGAGUUUGUUCAAUACUUGUUCUCAAACCUCUCAUUUCAAGUUUGAUAUUGUUUGACUGAUUGAUUCAUCGAUGGAUCACGUCCAAUGAAAAUGUGUUUCAUUUUACCGAAAAAGUGAUGGUUUCUAUAUCAAUUUCAGAUACUUCUUCGUUUUUUUACACCUGUCAUCCGUGCGACCAUCGUCUGCCCGCCCUCCUCGUUCUUAUUCUCACCCGACAUCCAAAAAUGGACUCCUUCAACGAUGCCCAAGAAGAGAGGAUAUUGGCUAAGGAUCUAACCGUGGGUGGAAGAUAUCCAAUCAUCUCGCUUGCCAACUUCAAGGGGGAUUACGGGCUCGGGCUCUACGCUUGGAUUCGAGCCGAGGGGAAAGAGCGUAUGCUCAUACUCCCCUCGAUUUUUGCCAGAAAAGUAAGCGAGGAGGAUAUCUCGUCCAUCAAUCAAGGGACGGGGUAUAUCCUCGUCUACAAAGGACCGGCAGGACGGACCCAUUUGUACAAAAUGGAAAAAGAGUGAGGUAAAAAUUAAAAACAAUUUGCAUGAUCAUCAACAUGAUCAUCACCGUCAUUAUCACCAUCCAUCCGGCAACCAUGUGGGCAACCAUGAAGUUGGGCAAGCAUGUGGGCAACCAAGGAGUUGACCAACCAGACAGGGGAUCCUUAAUGAGGAUUAAGGAUUAUUAUUAUCAUUAUCAUUAUCAUUAUCAUUAUUAUUAGUAUUAUUAAUUCGGCUUUUUUUUUUCUUUUUUUCCUAUCCAUGCAAUCUCACUCACUCGGACCCGAACAGCGCUAUGAGUCAAAUGGCAUCGGAGAAAAUCCCGCAAGCUCUCGCCGUUCUCUCCCGUUUCG
rnacentral:lncRNA from 1 species